UGGGGAAUAUUGGACAAUGGGCGCAAGCCUGAUCCAGCAAUGCCGCGUGAGUGAUGAAGGCCUUCGGGUUGUAAAGCUCUUUCGUCCGCGACGAUGAUGACGGUAGCGGAAGAAGAAGCCCCGGCUAACUUCGUGCCAGCAGCCGCGGUAAUACGAAGGGGGCGAGCGUUGUUCGGAAUUACUGGGCGUAAAGGGCGCGUAGGCGGUCGGCCGCGUCAGAUGUGAAAGCCCCGGGCUCAACCUGGGAACCGCAUUUGAGACGGGUCGACUCGAGUUCGGGAGAGGAUGGUGGAAUUCCCAGUGUAGAGGUGAAAUUCGUAGAUAUUGGGAAGAACACCGAGGGCGAAGGCAGCCAUCUGGACCGACACUGACGCUGAGGCGCGAAAGCGUGGGGAGCAAACAGGAUUAGAUACCCUGGUAGUCCACGCCGUAAACGAUGAGUGCUAGCCGCUGGGACGCUUGCGUGUCGGUGGCGUCGCUAACGC
rnacentral:rRNA from 1 species